UCCUGGACGAUGUCUGACGGAGCAACGCCGCGUGAGUGAUGAAGGUUUUCGGAUCGUAAAACUCUGUUGUUAGGGAAGAACAAGUACCGUUCGAAUAGGGCGGUACCUUGACGGUACCUAACCAGAAAGCCACGGCUAACUACGUGCCAGCAGCCGCGGUAAUACGUAGGUGGCAAGCGUUGUCCGGAAUUAUUGGGCGUAAAGCGCGCGCAGGCGGUUUCUUAAGUCUGAUGUGAAAGCCCCCGGCUCAACCGGGGAGGGUCAUUGGAAACUGGGGAACUUGAGUGCAGAAGAGGAGAGUGGAAUUCCACGUGUAGCGGUGAAAUGCGUAGAGAUGUGGAGGAACACCAGUGGCGAAGGCGACUCUCUGGUCUGUAACUGACGCUGAGGCGCGAAAGCGUGGGGAGCGAACAGGAUUAGAUACCCUGGUAGUCCACGCCGUAAACGAUGAGUGCUAAGUGUUAGAGGGUUUCCGCCCUUUAGUGCUGCAGCAAACGCAUUAAGCACUCCGCCUGGGGAGUACGGUCGCAAGACUGAAAUCUGG
rnacentral:rRNA from 1 species